ensembl:lncRNA
UUUUUUUUUUUUUUUUUGUAUGUUUUGUAGAGACAGAGUCUCACUAUGUUGCCUAGGCUGGUCUUGAACUCCUGGGCUUGAACUCCUCCUGUCUUGGCCUCCCAAGGUGCUAGGAUUACAGGCGUGUGCCACUGCACCUGGCCAGAUAUUACUUUUGUGUUUAUGCUUUAUAGACAAUGAAAUUGAAACUCAGAGAGAUCAAGGGAUUUGUCCAAGGUCAUAUAGCUAAUAAGUGCUAGAGUCAGGAUUUGAAUCCAGAACUAAUUCAAAAUUCUGCUUUUCUUCCAUUAACUCAGUUAUUAGAUACUCCCCCUGAUACACAGCAACACACUAAGCAUUUGCAAAUGGUAUGUUAAUUCAUUUAUUCAUUUACUCAAAACUGAUUUUGCACCUGCUACAGUCAGACACUAUUCUAAAUACUAAGAAUACAGUAAUGAACCAAACAGACAAAGGGCAUACCCUAAUAGAGCUCAUAGAGCUCACUUCAAAGGGAGAGAGAGAGAGAAAAAGUAAACAAAUAAAGAAGCUAAUGUUAGACAGUGAUAAGAGCUCUAAAGGAAAUAAACAGGAUGUAUCAGUAAGCUAUUGCUGCGUAACAAACUGUUCCAGAAUGUAGUGGCUUAAACAACAAUUAUUUAUUUAGCUCAUGAUUCUACAAGUUGUACUUUAAGCUGGGCUCAGUUGAGAAGUUCUUCAGCUAACCUUAGCUGACCUCAGUUGGGCCUGCUAGCCCAGGUGUUUGUAGCCAGCUAGAAAGUUAACUAGGGGUUAGCUGUACAGGAUGGUGUUAGCACUGGUCCAUGUGCCUCCCAUUCCCCAGAUGGCUAGUCUGGGUUUGGACAGAUGGUGAUGAUGAUAAGGUUCUAGAGAGAGAAAUACACAAUGACUCUGAAGGUCUGGGCUCAGAACUGCCACACCAUCACUUUGUUGCAUACUAUUGGUCAAGACAAGUCACAAAGUCAGCCCAGAUUCAAGGCGUGGGGAGACAGACACCACCUCUCAAUGGGAAGAACUACAAAGUCAAUUUCAAAGGGUAUAGAUACAGGGAUACUAUUAGUUGGAGACAUCAAUGAAAUUAAUGUACCUAACAGGGUGAUGUGAUAGAGGAUGGCUGAGUGGUGGGAAGAGGAAGGAAUAGAGUACUUCAGAUGGGAGAAGGCCUCUCUGAUGAGGUGACAUUUAUUCUCAGAGCUGAAGUAUGAGAAGGAAGAGCCAUUCAAAGCCAUAGGACAGAGUAUCCCCUAAGAAGAAGUUAUUCUAAAAGAUACACUCCCCAUAGCAAAAUGUCCACAUCCUUCACACAUACCUGUUGCAUGAUCAUAUAUUAAAUAAAGGACUUAGCAGCAGGUACACAGGAGAGCAACAUAGUAUAACAUCAAAAUGCUCAUCCCUUCACCUCCCCACAACCUUAAAUGACCACUGAAAGCAUGCAGAUUUUUUCAGUGGCUAUCAUUUUCAUGAAAUAGUUGUGGACCCUUAGAGAAAUGUAUCUCCCAAAAUAGAGAUGUAGGAAAGAGAGGGAUGCAUAGGAAGCAAAGCAAAGGGAAUAUUAAUGAAGAAUGAAGAUGGAAGAGACUAAUAGCAAGAAAGAAAGUGGAGAUGGUGAGACAGGCAGAAACAUCGUUGACAUGUAGUAAACUCUUAAUAAGUACUUGUAGAAUUAGUGAGUGGAUGAGGCCCCCAUAUGUGUGUGUGUGUAUAUAUAUAUAUACAUGUAUGCAUGCAUAUGCACAUGUGAUGGAGGAAUAAACGAGAUAAAGGGAAGCAGAGGGAGCCAUCACUACUGAUGGUGGUAGGGAAGC